CCCCCGGCCGUCUCCAAUUUCUCCGCCCAAAUUUAUUUCCUUUCCGCCUGUACAAUUCGCCGGAUCCCUUCCUGUCGCCGCUUCUCCCCGUCCUCCGGCGAUGGAGCAAAGCAUAUUGGACUCCCUCGGUGUCGAGAUCAUCGGCGUCAUGUCUCCUGUCUCCAUCUGCAUGCUCCUCGUAGUCCUCCUUGUCUCUACCCUAUCCCCCUCCUCUAUCUCUUCGUUCGAAUCCUCGGCCGCUUCCGCCACCACCGCUGCUACCCUCGUCUACGCUGAGUCCCCCUCCGAUCCCCCUGCCCGCCGCUUCGUCGGCGCCUUACUCAACGCUGCCGCCUUCGUGGCCCUUGUCGCGGUUGUCACCACUCUUCUCGUUGUCCUCUACUACUACCGCUUCACCGGCUUCCUCCGAAACUACGUCCGGUUCUCCGCCUUCUUCGUUAUCGCCUCCAUGGGCGGAUCCAUCCUCCUCACUGUUCUCCGCGCCCUUUCCCUUCCCCUAGACGCCGUCACCGCGAUGAUUCUCCUCCUCAACCUUUCCGCUAUUGGCGUUCCCGCCGUGCUCUCCGCAGCAGUUCCGAUCCUCCUCCGCCAGGCCUACCUCGUCGCCCUCGCUGUGAUCGUCGCCGCCUGGUUCUCCCGCCUCCCAGAGUGGACCACUUGGACUCUUCUCGUCGCCCUCGCGCUGUACGACCUCGCCGCUGUGCUCUGCCCCCGGGGCCCCCUCCGCGUCCUCGUUGAGCUCGCGUCCUCCCGGGAGGAGGAGCUCCCUGCGCUCGUCUAUGAAUCUCGCCCAGCCGGCUCCUCUGUCUCCCAUGCCAUGGCCGCCUUUGGCUCCGUCGAGCUCCAACCAGUGGAAACCACCACCCCCAAUCCUACCAUUUCUACUCAAAAUCCUGAUCCAGGCCCCAGAAUCAUAGAAGUACAUAGAAAUGAGGAGGAAACCUCACCUUUGAUGUCAAACGAGCCCAACAAUAGUGACACCGGCAAUGUACAUCAACCAUACAUUGCAACAAUGAGGGGGAGAGAUGUGGAAAGCAAUCAAGAUCCUUCUUCUUCUUCAUCUCUGAUGCCCACUUCAGAAAGCGAGGAAUUUGAUACAUCAAGAGGAAUCAGACUCGGCCUUGGGGAUUUCGUGUUCUAUAGUGUGCUUGUAGGAAGAGCAGCAAUGUACGAUCUGAUGACAGUAUAUGCUUGCUACCUUGCAAUUAUUGCUGGUCUUGCCUGCACAUUGAUCUUGCUGUCGAUAUGCCGCCAUGCGCUACCUGCCCUUCCAAUCUCAAUCGCAUUGGGUGUGGGGUUCUAUUUCUUGACGCGUUUGCUAUUGGAGCCAUUUGUUGUUGGAGCAUCGACUAACUUGGUGAUGUUCUGACACUUUGUUUCCUUCAAUCUCAUAGUAGAGACAUUAAAGUGGCUUAAUUGACUGGCCUUCACUGUUGGAUUAUGGAAAUGUGGUUGGUUGCUUCUGAAACAGUUGAUCUUGAUUCUGUUGUUACAGCAUUCAGCUCGUGCUCAACUAUCAAACAUUCUUCAGGUUGAAGUCGUCAGGAGGUUCCAGCUGCUAGUCCCCUGGCCACAAGGAUUUUCGCUUUGGUCUUUUGGUUUGUGUUUAUUUGUUUAGAGCUAUGUUUCAGACUUGUUCUGGUUUUGGUACUCUAGAUUUUGUGUGGCUUGUCUUUGAGUAAUGUACUGGUUGGGUUUUGUUUGCUUGGUGGAUUGUAUUUGGUUUGAUUUGCUACGCGCCUAUCGGGCGGGCAGAAGAGGUAAGUUUAGAUGAUAUUUUCGUUUUCUUU